GAAGGAUUUGUUGAAUGGAAACCGAGGCUGCCCCAUCACUUACCUUGGGAUCUUUAUGCCAGCGAAUUGCCAUAUUGUCUAGGAUGUGCCUGGCACAUAGGGCCGAAGAACCUGGAGCAGUGCCUGACAUACACAAGGUACUCAAUAAGUGUUCCUUGAAUUGAACUGACUGGUGUCCUCUGCUUGGAACACUUUCUUGACUGGAACUGGAUGUUAACAUUUAUUGAGUCUUACUGAGUGCAGCCCUGUGCUAGACACCGUAUAUAGCGAUCACCUCAUCCACUUGGCUAAUUCAUGCUCAUCCUUCAAGAUCUAGCUCAAAUGUCACCUAUUCUGUUAAACCAUCUUGAUUCCCUCCA
rnacentral:lncRNA from 1 species